AAUAGGAAACAAAUCAAUUGUAUUUAACUUCGACUUAAAAUUAAGAAUAAAAUAAAUUAUUCCUUAUUUUA
rnacentral:tRNA from 1 species